GGCCAGCCCAUUUAGCCUUCCACCAGUCGACCAGCCCAACACCAAACCGACCCGCCAUACCCGACCCGACCGGCCCACCUUCCUUUAAACCCACCAUCGUCUACAAUCAAAAGAAAAGAAAACAAAAACCUAAGAAAACCUAACGCCGCCUGACCUUCUCUCUCUCUCUCAACCAACGAUUGUGGCAAAAUCACAGAUCGUUUUCGCAAAAAUCAGGCCAUGCAUGGCCAUUUGGGGAAGAGAAAUUAAUGGACAGCCCUUUUUCAGCAUUUCAAUUAAUGGGUUUUGUUUUCUUUCACCACGAUCUGCUAGCAAGUUUAAUGAUUUUCGUCCCUUGGUGAAAGGAGAAUCUGGCUUUUAUCAGCCAUUGUGAUUUUCUCGAGUAAAAGUUUUAAGUGGGUUUUGUCCAUUUCCCUUUGUGUCUGAUCAGUGUCACCAACGUUCUGAUUUGAAAAGGGAAUUCAACUUCAAAUCCCGCCCAAAAAAAAAUGAGUGAAACCCUAGUUUUGGUAUACUAUAAAAGGACCUUAAGUCCAUAGCCGAAGCAGAGGUUUUUUGGAGCAACUCCAAUUCUCCGAAAGUACCAAAAAAACAGUCUCAUUUUGUUACUUGACAUCAACUUUAAAAUACCAAACAUUUUUCUCUCUCUCUUUCACUCUAUUAUUGUUUUGAAUCCGAGUAUACGCAAGCUUGGAGGUAUUAACAUUCGAGUGUGGAUUCGCGAUUCAUAGCCCUGUUCACUGCACCUGACAAAGAGUCGAAGAGUCUUACUUUAAGACUCGACGCCACCCCGCAAAGGCCUGAAACAUGCAUCCCCUUUCUGCCCACCACGCUCGCUUCCUCAUGCCGCAUCCAAACAAAGAAUGAAUGAGGGGCGAGGCACCGCAAGCUGUCCGCUACCUGUCGCUUCCCCAUUUUUCUUCCCUAUGUCGAGCUUGCGCAAAGCCAUGGAAAGUGAUUUGUUUCAUUAUGUUGGUGUGCUUAUGUGUUGCUUGUGUGCUUUCUUUAAGGUCUACUUUAAGCCAUUUGCAAUCUGUGGAUCUCGUGAUAAUAAUAGAAUUUAGAAUAAAGUUUAAUUAUUCGUUUAGGAUUCCUCCCUAGUUAAUAUUUUC